rnacentral:lncRNA from 1 species
GUACCUUGUGAAACAACUACUUGCUUCUUUAUCUUAUUUUUAGGCCUGUUUGGAUCAAGAGUGGCUAUAUAUGUAGGACAAUUCCUUUUUCAAUAAUCCAACUUCUUAUAGAAGAAGCAUUCUAUCUGGCUCUUAUCAACUUUUGAUGAUUUGCUCUGCUUAGGAUUGACGGCAUGAGAUUUCUAUAUUUUUUUCUUCUUUUCUCUCUUAGA